UGCACUUCAUAGGUUUACAAUUACAGACUGUAGCCCAUCUGUUGCUUCACAGUUUAUCAACUCACAUCUACACUGAUGGAAAGAGACCACCAUAGGACCACCACUGUCAGUUCUGUCAAGUCACGCAAUCUGGGAGAAUGGGUUAGACGAGAACCAGAAAUUCCCUGAUAUACAAAUAUGAGGCACUGGACCAUAUUUACAUAGUCAUUAGGUCUUAUUGUUCAGCCUUGCAAUGCCAUUGGAUGGUAAAUGUGCAGGUCUGACCAUCAGGCCAUGAAGUCAUACAACUUUCCUGGAUGCACAUCUCCC